rnacentral:rRNA from 1 species
UACGUAGGGGGCGAGCGUUGUCCGGAUUCAUUGGGCGUGAAGCGCUGCGUAGGCGCCUGGCAAGUCGGCCGUGAAAUCUCCCAGCUUAACUGGGAGGGUCGGGCGAGACUGCGAGGCUCGAGGUGGGUAGAGGGCAGUGGAAUUCCGGGUGUAGUGGUGGAAUGCGUAGAGAUCCGGAGGAACACCAGUGGCGAAGGCGGCUGCCUGGGCCUCGGCCUGACGCUGAGGCGCGAAAGCGUGGGGAG